AACCAGGUUUAGACGGGUUCCCAGGGAAACCAGGUCUUCUAGGAAAAGACGGCCCUAGGGGGCUGACUGGUGCUCCUGGUGCAAGUGGAGUCAAAGGAGCAAAGGGUGAACGAGGUCCUGCUGGAUUACCUGGUGAUGC